GGUAAGGGGCCAAAAAGGGAAGUUUGUGCCCCUUUUUAAAAGGUAAAUUCUUUUUUUUACCA
rnacentral:tRNA from 1 species